rnacentral:rRNA from 1 species
ACUCCUACGGGAGGCAGCAGUGGGGAAUAUUGCACAAUGGGCGCAAGCCUGAUGCAGCCAUGCCGCGUGUGUGAAGAAGGCCUUCGGGUUGUAAAGCACUUUCAGUCGUGAGGAAGUAGUGUAGUUAAUAGCUGCAUUAUUGAUCGUUAGCGACAGAAGAAGCACCGGCUAACUCCGUGCCAGCAGCCGCGGUAAUACGGAGGGUGCGAGCGUUAAUCGGAAUUACUGGGCGUAAAGCGCAUGCAGGUGGUUUGUUAAGUCAGAUGUGAAAGCCCGGGGCUCAACCUGC